AUAUAUGUAACGGAGCAGAAGAGCUCAGGUUAAAUUAUGUGAAACCAGGCGCAACACCGCCACCUACUGACGUAGUGGGUACGUGGGGUGGGGAACGCCACAGCGGCGAGAGGAUUUAUAUGGAUCAUAAUUGUCCCGCGAGACUGCUGUUUACCCACGCCGCUGCUGUGUCGUCUGCUGUGUUGCAGCGGCGAGAGGAUUUAUAUGGAUCAUAAUUGUCCCGCGAGACUGCUGUUUACCCACGCCGCUGCUGUGUCGUCUGCUGUGUUGCAGGAAAAGAAUAAAACAGUAACACCCACCUGUCAUCGUCUGACAUCUAAAUAUAUAUAUGAAGCCUCAAUAAAGUGGAGCUGUGGUCAUCAGGAGAAGUAACCUGUCACAUAU